GACGAACGCUGGCGGCGUGCUUAACACAUGCAAGUCGAACGGUGAAGCGCCUUCCUUUUUGGUGGGUGUGGAUGAGUGGCGAACGGGUGAGUAACACGUGAGUAACCUGCCCCCUUCUUCUGGAUAACCGCAUGAAAGUGUGGCUAAUACGGGAUAUUCUGGGUCUGUCGCAUGAUGGGUCUGGGAAAGAUAUUGUUUCGGUGGGGGAUGGGCUCGCGGCCUAUCAGCUUGUUGGUAGGGUGAUGGCCUACCAAGGCGGUGACGGGUAGCCGGCCUGAGAGGGUGGACGGUCACACUGGGACUGAGACACGGCCCAGACUCCUACGGGAGGCAGCAGUGGGGAAUAUUGCACAAUGGGCGCAAGCCUGAUGCAGCGACGCCGCGUGAGGGAUGGAGGCCUUCGGGUUGUGAACCUCUUUCGCCAGUGAAGCAGGCCUGCCUCGUUUGUGGGUGGGUUGACGGUAGCUGGAGAAGAAGCGCCGGCUAACUACGUG
rnacentral:rRNA from 1 species